AUACGCCCGUAUAAAAUACGGGACGUAUUAUGUGAAACCCCUUGGCGGGCGGCGGGCGGGCGGCGGGCGGAAGGCAUCACUUUGUCCGGACUCUAAUUCAAAUUGUAUUCAUCCGAUCUUCACCAAACUUGGUCAGCAGUUGCAUCUAGUUGAUAUCUAGGCCAAGUUCGAAUAUGGGUCAUGCCGGGUCAAAAACUAGGUCAUAGGGUCAAUUAGUGCAUUUUCAACGGCGCCACUUUGUCCGGACUCUAAUUCAAAUUGUAUUCAUCCGAUCUUCACCAAACUUGGUCAGUAGUUGCAUCUAGUUGAUAUCUAGGUCAAGUCCGAAUAUGGGUCAUGCUGGGUUAAAAACUAGGUCACUGGGUCACUUAGUGCAUUUCAAGGAUUUAGCAUGGUGUCCGCUCUCUAAUUGAAGUAUUUUUCAUCCGAUCUUCACCGAAUUCGGUCAGAAGUUGUGUCUAAAUGAUAUCUAGGUCAAGAACAAAUAUGUGUCUUGGCGGGUCAAAAAAUAGGUCACAAGGUCACUUAAUGAAUUUCAAGCGUUUAGCAUGGUGUCCGCUCUCUACUUGAAGUAGUUUUCAUCUGAUCUUCACUGAAUUUGGUCAGAAGUUGAGUCUAAAUGAUAUCUAGGUCAAGAACAAAUAUGGGUCUUGCUGGGUCAAAAACUAGGUCACUUAAUGCAUUUCAAGCAUUUAGCAUGGUGUCCGCUCUCUAAUUGAAGUAGUUUUCAUCCUGUCUUUACCAAAUUUGGUCAGAAGUUGUGUCUAAUUGAUAUCUAGGUCAAGUUCAAAUAUGUGCUG